CGCGAGCGACGCGUAACGAACAACGCGCUGCCCUCUUCUGCUUCGGUCGAAACGGCGUUUGCGUCCACGGGCGCGGCUUUGCGUCUUCGAGCUGGCGUUUUACAUAGUAAAAUGUCCUCCGCCGAUUGUUCGGAUCUGUGUCGACUGUGUCUCGUGAAGGAGCGCGUUACCGUGCCGAUUUUUGAAGGCGAGGGUGACGCACGGCGCAUUUUUACGAAAAUCAGCACCUGCCUGCCGGUGAAGAUCUCUAGGGAAGAUAAAUUACCUCAAAAGUUAUGUGCCGAUUGUGUGUACAAAGUAGAAACGUUCUUUGAAUUCUGGCAAACUACAGCAGUUUCAGAAAAACGAUUGCAAGCAUGGCUAGCAGAUGUAGAAAAACAGGACUAUGCUGUUGCUACUGUUCUCAACCAGAGCGGUAUGAAAGGAGAACAGAGCAACGAGAACAGGUUAGAUGGUUCAGGUAUGAUGCAGCAAGUAAGUGGGCAUCAGAAUAGUCUGAACAUGGUUAUGGACAAUAUGGGCAUGUGUAUGUCAAUGAUGAUGCCCAAUAACCAACAACAAAUAACCUCAGUUCCUAUGGACCCCAGUGGUAGCUCUGUACAAAGUAUCCAAGUAGUAGCUGGAUCAAGUACACAUGAGCAAAUUACGCAUGACCAAAUUAUACAAAAUCAAACGAAUGCACCCACGCAACAAGAAGAGGAAGAAGAAAGUAGUGAAGACGAAGAAAACUCAGAUGACGAAUGUGAUGGGGAUGGCCUACCUAUAAAAGAAGAAAGUGAAGAGGAUCCUAACAACAGUAGAACUAUCGAGCCUACAACAUUUGUAAAUGUGUCUUUGGCGUGCGAAGAUCCAGGCCCUUCUGGACUUCAACAGCAAAAAAUGGCUGACAUACAAGAGAUGACAACGGCCGGAGAUCCGAAAACUGGAAUUGAAAACCCAGCGGAGACGUCUCUAACAAAUAAGCCCUCUAUACGCGAAUGUAUGGAUACCACGUUGGUUUCGAUUUCCGUUAAGGAAGAAAACGUAGAUUCUUGCGAGGAGAAUGUAAAGCAUGAGGAAUGCCGGCACAUGCAACACCAGGCUGCGAAUACAGCGCAUCGUCAGUGUCUCGCCGAGAACGCGGAGGACUCACUGAUGUCGGAGGAACUCGAGGAGCAGGAUAAUCUCACGGACGCGGAGAUCAGUCGGCAGAAUUGCUCGUUGAGCAUGAGGAAGCAGCUUUACAAGUGCAACGUGUGCAUGAAGCUUUUCAGGUCGAAGAAUCUUUUCGAAGGCCAUCUAGUCGCGCACAGCGACGCGCGUCCGUACCAGUGCGACGUCUGCAACAAGUCCUUCAAGAGAACCAAUACCUUGGCGGUGCACCGGAGGAUCCACACCCACGAGAGGAACUUUGUCUGCGACGUGUGCGGUCGCGCGUUCGUCCAAGCCUCGCAGUUGGCCACUCAUCACAGACGCCACUACGAGAAAUACACGCGGCACUGUGAGAUCUGCAACAAGGGCUUCUUCACAAACGCCGAGCUGCACGGUCAUAUGAACGUGAAGCACGGCGCUAAGGAGCACGUGUGCACCGCUUGCGACAAGCAGUUCCCCAACAACCACACGCUGGCGCGCCAUCUUAAGAUCCACGAUCCAAACUUCAAGCCGGUGAAGCACCAGUGCGAGUUCUGCGGCAAGAUGUUCGCCUACAAGAAUUCCCUGGUGGUGCACGUCAAAUCGCACACCGGCGAGAAUAAGUAUGACUGCCAACUGUGCGGCAAGUCUGUCUCGUCCAAGGGCUCGUUGCAGGACCACCUGCGGCUCCAUAGCGGCGAGAAGUCGCUGGUUUGCGAUGUGUGCGGCAAGGCCUUCCGCAAGAAGACCACGUUGGUGGUACACAAGAGGACUCACACCGGCGAGAAGCCGUAUACUUGCGACACUUGCGGCAAAUCCUUCACGCAGCACUCGGCGCUCGUUAUACACAAACGCUACCACACGGGCCAGCGGCCGUACCAAUGUACUUACUGCAACAAGUCCUUCGUAUCUAGGGGACUACUCAAUGCCCACAAUAAGGUGCACGUAGUCAGUGUGAUGGUCGUGCAGUCGACGUAGUCCCACUACUCCGGGGACAUUCCUUCAUCGCAUGACGUCGCGUCGCAUUCUAGCGCGCGCAACGCAUUCUUGUCUUCAAGAUAUCGCCCGAGACUGGAUGAAUAGUUGUCAAAAAUACAACCCGCUACCGUUUCCCGAAGACUUUUGUCCGAUGACGAUGUUCGCUAAGCUCGAUCUGGUAAAGAAGAACAACGAACCGGAGAGAAUUUUGCCGUUGAAGUGUCUGAAAUCGGAUGAGUCGAUGACUACGGCUCCAA
rnacentral:misc_RNA from 1 species